rnacentral:rRNA from 1 species
AUUGAACGCUGGCGGCAGGCCUAACACAUGCAAGUCGAACGGUAGCACAGAGAGCUUGCUCUCGGGUGACGAGUGGCGGACGGGUGAGUAAUGUCUGGGAAACUGCCCGAUGGAGGGGGAUAACUACUGGAAACGGUAGCUAAUACCGCAUAACGUCGCAAGACCAAAGUGGGGGACCUUCGGGCCUCACACCAUCGGAUGUGCCCAGGUGGGAUUAGCUAGUAGGUGGGGUAAUGGCUCACCUAGGCGACGAUCCCUAGCUGGUCUGAGAGGAUGACCAGCCACACUGGAACUGAGACACGGUCCAGACUCCUACGGGAGGCAGCAGUGGGGAAUAUUGCACAAUGGGCGCAAGCCUGAUGCAGCCAUGCCGCGUGUAUGAAGAAGGCCUUCGGGUUGUAAAGUACUUUCAGCGGGGAGGAAGGCGGUGAAGUUAAAAGCUUCACCGAUUGACGUUACCCGCAGAAGAAGCACCGGCUAACUCCGUGCCAGCAGCCGCCGCCG